UGGGGAAUCUUGGACAAUGGGGGCAACCCUGAUCCAGCCAUGCCGCGUGAGUGAUGAAGGCCUUAGGGUCGUAAAGCUCUUUCGCCUGUGAAGAUAAUGACGGUAGCAGGUAAAGAAACCCCGGCUAACUCCGUGCCAGCAGCCGCGGUAAUACGGAGGGGGUUAGCGUUGUUCGGAAUUACUGGGCGUAAAGCGCACGUAGGCGGACCAGAAAGUUGGGGGUGAAAUCCCGGGGGCUCAACCCCGGAACUGCCUCCAAAACUAUUGGUCUAGAGUUCGAGAGAGGUGAGUGGAAUUCCAAGUGUAGAGGUGAAAUUCGUAGAUAUUUGGAGGAACACCAGUGGCGAAGGCGGCUCACUGGCUCGAUACUGACGCUGAGGUGCGAAAGGUGUGGGGAGCAAACAGGAUUAGAUACCCUGGGUAGUCCACACCGUAAAACGAUGAAUGCCAGUCGUCGGGGUAGCAUGCUAUUCGGUGACACACCUAACGGAUUAAGC
rnacentral:rRNA from 1 species